rnacentral:rRNA from 1 species
GACGAACCGUGCAAACGUUAUUCGGAAUCACUGGGCUUAAAGGGCGCGUAGGCGGCUUGCCAAGUCAGGGGUGAAAUCUUUCGGCUUAACCGGAAAAGUGCCUUUGAUACUGGCAGGCUCGAGGGAGGUAGGGGCAUGUGGAACUUCCGGUGGAGCGGUGAAAUGCGUUGAUAUCGGAAGGAACGCCGGUGGCGAAAGCGACGUGCUGGACCUCUUCUGACGCUGAGGCGCGAAAGCUAGGGGAGCGAACGGG